rnacentral:tRNA from 1 species
AGGAACUUAGGAUAAAUAUAAACCGAGGGCCUUCAAAGCCCCUAAAAAGAGUCUAAACCUCUUAGAUCCUG